ensembl:lncRNA
CCAUAAUAAGCGGCGGCUGAGUGUUGCCCUGCAGCGCCACGGGGAGGAGGGGGAUUACUAAACAUGUUGUAGGGAUCCUCUAGUUGCCAUAACGAAUAAACAGCGGCCACAGCAACAGUGUGCGCUGAUGGAGCCUGGUGCUAAACUGGCAGGGUGUUGGUUUCUGGGUGGCGGGGGUCGCUUUAAAUACCGUUUCAUUCCUAUUUUCUUGUGGCACCGGUGCUUUUUUUUUCCCCGGGAUUUUUUGGACUUUUCCUCGUUCCUCCUUUCAUGUGCGGUCAAAUUGCAGACGGCAUCAGAUAAGGAAGAUUUGUAGACUGAGCGAAGCAGGGACGGCAGAAGAGAAGAAAGCCCCUGCGUGGAUAUUUCAACACAAGUCAAUGUGGAAUCGACGGCUACUAAACGCUCUGCAUCAGCGCGUCAGAGAUCAGAGUGAACCAGGGCCUCUCCUCCGUCAGCGACCGCUAAGUCAUCGCUGUCAUCGCCUGGAUAUAAGGACACGGGCCGCAUGUGGACGUUGACCUGCGGCUGAUCUUUGCUGUUGAGAUGAACUGACGGACAGAAAAGCUACCAGAACCUCGGCGGAUGAGGCAAAAACGAAGCUAAAUGAGACAUAAUUAGCAUUGGGGAUGUUUUUCAUCACCACUUGCUUUUAAUGAGGAUUCUGUGUGGAUUUCCUCACGUUGUAAUUAGCUUGAAGUCAUCAUCAGACUACACAACCCACAAUGCAACUUGACGUGCACCUCUUACAGUUACAAAAACAUCAAAAUGUCGCCCCAAUCUCGGUUUUUCGCCCUGGCUUUUGUUUUUCUCUGUAGUGAAGAAGACUUGAGAACUAGAGAAACUAGAGUUUACUGAGGGAAUAAAUCAAGAGAGAAGUAGAGUCAUUUCCUCAUAGACGUCUAUGGGAGCAGAGGAGUCGCCCCCUGCUGGUCACUACAGAGAAGUAGAGUCAUUUCCUCAUAGACGUCUAUGGGAGCAGAGGAGUCGCCUCCUGGUGGACAGUAGACAGAAUGCAGCUUUAAGACGCCAGCAAACACCUGGUGUAACCCCCCUCCCCCCCUUUAACUAGGUUCCUUCUGGAGCUUCACUCCUCAUUUCACGUCUUUCAUCAACAAACGGUUCCAGUCGGUCAUGUGACGACAACCUUUCCGUCUCCAUCAGGUCGCUGGAAUAUCUUUCGUCAUUUGUUUUAUCAAAGAUUUUGUGUUGAAGCUGGAUUUGGUCCAACACGAACAUCUGGAGCGAUUACGUCAGUCAGAGUCAGGUUACAGCUUCAGUCUCCAGCCACCGGCCCGUCGGCCUCCUCGGGCCUCCUCCCCAGCUCUGCAAACCGCCCAGCAUGAGUUCCUCCUCCGCUCUGGGGCCUCUAGUCCUCCUCAGCUCGGGUUCGGCCUCAGUUUUGUCCUUGACACUUGAAAUGUGCCCACGAGUUGGAGUCACGAGAUCCCAGUGAACCCGGAGGAGAAGUAAAAUGAAAAAAGGAGAUUUUUACAUCGAAGGAGGGAGACUAGCGGGUGUUUUUCUGUGUCCUGCUGCCCUCUGGCUGUCAAAGCAGCUCGGCACUUCUCGGGUCAUGUGACUUACCUUUACGUUACAUUUUGUUCAUUUUCACAGAGUGCAGGUUUAAAAUGUUGCACGUUUGCCCCUUUUAUUGCUCCG